rnacentral:rRNA from 1 species
ACUACGGGGAGCAGCAGUGGGGAAUAUUGGGCAAUGGGCGCAAGCCUGACCCAGCAAUGCCGCGUGAAGGAAGAAGGCUUUCGGGUUGUAAACUUCUUUGACAGGGGAAGAGCAGAAGACGGUACCCUGAAAACAAGCCACGGCUAACUACGUGCCAGCAGCCGCGGUAAUACGUAGGUGGCAAGCGUUGUUCGGAUUUACUGGGGGUAAAGGGCGUGUAGCCGGGAAGGCAAGUCAGAUGUGAAAUCCGGAGGCUCAACCUCCGAAUUGCAUUUGAAACUGUUUUUCUUGAGUACUGGAGAGGCAGACGGAAUUCCUUGUGUAGCGGUGAAAUGCGUAGAUAUUAGGAAGAACACCAGUGGCGAAGGCGGAUUACUGGACGACAACUGACGGUGAGGCGCGAAAGCGUGGGGAGCAAACAGGAUUAGAUACCCCUGUAGUC